rnacentral:rRNA from 1 species
UACGAAGGGUGCAAACGUUGCUCGGAAUUAUUGGGCGUAAAGCGCACGUAGGCGGCUUAGCAAGUCGGAUGUGAAAUCCCUCGGCUCAACCAAGGAAGUGCAUCCAAAACUGCUGAGCUUGAGUACUUAAGAGGAUCGCGGAAUUCCCGGUGUAGAGGUGAAAUUCGUAGAUAUCGGGAGGAACACCAGUGGCGAAGGCGGCGCUCUGGGAAGAUACUGACGCUGAGGUGCGAAAGCGUGGGGAGCAAACAGG